UAAAGGAUUAUAGCAUCUAAUAUAAUGUAAAAGACCGUACAGGCUGAAGAUUAAUGUUCCCGAAUAAGGACUAAUCAUUUUGGUUUGGACUAAAUCUAGUUGAUAUAAAGAAUGUUUGAAAGAAAAACUAUUCCAGUAUAUUUUGAUCUAAUGGAAGAGGUGUUAUGGAAUUGCCAAAUGGACUCUGCACUUCAUUGCUAUGUUGCUUUCUUAACUAACAGAACAUGUUUUAGCACGUUUAGAGUCAGACAUUGCCUGAUUUAGUCAGUUUGACAAUGAGGUGAUGAGUUUAGCACAAUAAGAAUUCAAGAACUCAUUUUAUUUUAUGGUUACACAAUAAUUGAUUUGUGGUUACAUUUGUGUUGCUGCCAAUUGCAUUUUAAUAUCACUCAAAAUGUAUAAAAUCAAUAUCAAAAUGGCCCUUCGUAGUUAAUAAACACUUACACAGAGUCUAGAGGUGAAAGCUUGGCUCUGUUGAUGUCAACAGCAAAACUUCCACUGACUGCAAUGGGGCCAAGUUUCACCCUGGAUACAUUCGGGCAGGUUAUCAUAACAGUGCCUGCUUCUUUUUGUUUUUGCUUACCUAUUCGAGCUACUUCCUUCUAGACAUGAGUUCUGCUGCAAUGUGAGCAUUUGCAAUUACCAGUAGUAUAGCAAGGCGUAGGUGCAGUGCUUCCUUCUUGAUACUACAAUUACCAAGAACCAUUUUGUGAGUAGCAAAGAGUCCUGUGGCACCUUAUAGACUAACAGACGUAUUGGAGCAUGAGCUUUCGUGGGUGAAUACCCACUUCGUCGGAUGCAUGCAUAUUUUGUGAGUGUUUAGUAGGAGGUGAACUUUCAUGUCCACAUUAUCCAUUUUUUUGAAGGCUGCCUGGAUACGUAUGUCAUCACAGAAACUUGGUGGGAUAGAAGGGCACAGCUUCUUCAGGAAGGACACGCAGAGAAAAAAGCAUGGAUGUGUUGCCUUGUAUAUCAAAGAUAAUAGUAGGACCUGUUGAAAGUCUCUGGCAACACAAGGAGGCUGAAAUGAAUACAUUGGAAGUGUAUGAGCUCAGUGAGAGAAAACAUGCUCAGCAUCAGUUUAUGAACAGUGAAUAGGCUUCAGCAAAAGAGCAGGUGGUAUUAUAGGACACCAAGGCAAAGGACUGACUGGCAAUCCUUGUGUUGCAUUGCUGAGUAUGUUCAUUCCAUUCAACCCUGGAUCAGAAGAGGCAGAAACAAUUUUUUUUUACAAAAAUUAAAACUUAGAGGCUGCAGAAAGUUUCUUGGUCUCCACAUUGUGAUAAAACUAGAAUCACAAUCCCAGGGCUUACACUGACUUAAAUCAGUCUGCAGUGCAUCGUGCAGCAAUUUUUAAUGGAAGAGGAUACUUGUAAAAGCAGAGUGGCAAGAGGAAAACAAGUCAGGUUAUACUAGUCUCCCUCUCCCCCGUUAUGUGUGAAUUAGUCAAUCAACAAGCCACCUUUUUGCUGUGAGUUCUGGUUUCCUUUACUUUUCUGUUUCUAAGCAGUGUCCAUGUGGUCUCUGUUUAGUUGCUGGGAUGCAGCUGUCGCUCUUCCCCACAAGACUUGAUACAAAGGUUUUGUGGAACUGAAUAAGAGAGGAUGAUGCAUGAGUCAGGCAGGAGAGGAAGGAGAGCAAGGGUGGGUGAAGGAGUUCCAGGUAGGUAGUAUGUGAAGGGAUGACUGUGGAACAGAUGGUUUGAAGCCAUCAGCAGAGCCAGUUGGAGGUAUGAGAGGAGGCGGUGGGGCUCAUUCGUGUGAAGGUGGUGCUGUAGAUGUAGCAAGGGGUGGAGUUUGUGGAAUAGAGAGGCAUUUUGAAAGGAGGCUGUGUAGUGGUGGUUGGUCUAUUGAGCUAGGGGUGAUUUGAAGGUGGCAGGGGUCCUCUGUGACCCACUACUGAUUCUCGGCAUCAGCUGCUGCUGCUGCUUAGUCAAACUCACAUUGACUUCAGUGAGAGUUUCCCUGAGAAAGGGCUGAUUAAGAAUUUCUCCUAUGCACAAAAAUGCAUCUCUGGCUCAUUGCCACAGUAACCUUGAUAAAUGAAUCUGUCCAUUUAUCUUCAUAAAUACCUAUUUAAGUACAGUUUGGCCACUACCCUCAAGACUUUAUCAACUUCCAUUGCGCAUGACUUUCAUCACAAUUAUUUUAGGCCCUGAAGGAUGGGAAUUCAAAUUUAUUUAAUAUAAUUUAUAACAAAAGCAUAAUAUACAAAUCAAAGAACUUUGUCUCUUUCAAUUUAUGUACAGGUUAGAAAUCCAAAUCCCCACAAAAACAAAACAAAACACAGAGAGAUUCAGAAAGAAAUAGGCAACAAAGUUCCAGGAAAAUUAAAUCCCUAAUAAUUUAAUUGAUUUAAUUUUUUUUCUUUUUUACUUCUCAAAGUUAGCAGGAACCUUCUAGCCAUGCCUGUUCUUGGGAACAUUGACAUUAAUAUAGAAGGAAAUCCAGGAUUUAGUAAUGAGAAACGCUGCUUUGAAAUUCCACAACUGCACAGCAGUUCCCUCCCAACAGGAAAUCACAGGAGCAGAGGGAAAGUGGAUGGGCUGGAUCCAAGGUGCUGCACCAACACCCAGCGAGGGAGGGAGCUAAAGGUCAGCCUCACUGCUACAACUGACUCUCAGCGCUCCCCAGAACGUAUUCUACAGUCUUCUCUCAGGACGUUUACUCUGAACUCCCACUGUCCAGCUUCACCUCUACUUGUGUGAAUUUGAUUGGAGAACAGCUAAUAUCACAGGGAGAUGAAUUGUCAUUCUAAUCAAACGUUGCUGUGCCACUGACUAGCUGAUGAAGAAUAAACCUCCCAACAGAGGGAAAAGACUUUAAAAAUACAACAAAUAAUAUAAGAAAAAGCCAAAAGGAAAAAUCAAAUGAAAAUCACAACUAACAAAUGGGAACAAGUUCCCUAUGCAAGAAUAUGGAUAUAGGGGAAAAUCCACAAACAAAAUUGGGGGAAAAAACCAAAAUAAUAGAAAAUGUUGACCCAAUAAAAAAGAAAUACUGAUUUAGGAAGUAUAAAAUCAACCUAUGGAAUUCACCAUCAGAGGGAAUCAAUAAGCAGCAUAUCAUUGCUGAAUUUAAAUCAAUGUUGAAUGGCUUUAAAGCCACAGAUAAUAUUUAUAGCAACACAGGCUUAGUUAAUAAUAAGAUUAAUCAAAGCUUCUACCACAGGACAUAAAUAGAUCACUUAUGAGGAUCAAAUUUCCCCCCCAUCUCUCUUAUCAACUGCAUAGUGAAACUGAAAAAAAAUGUAUUUUGAUUUUCUCUUUCCUGUUCGUUAAUUAUCAGGUAUUGCUGACAGCCAGAAGCAGGACAUCUGACCUGAUAGACAUUGUGCCACAGAAAACACAGUCCUGGAAAUUGAUAUGGAUUGAAACUUAUUCCUCACUGGAGCAAUGUUUCUGUAAGACCACUGAAAUUAAUGUCAGUUUUGUACUUUGAAAAAAGCACACUCAUUUGUGACCACUCAAUUCUAUGACAUAUGCAGCUCUUUUGAAUACUUUAAUUUCUUCAUUCUCCACAUACUUGACGUUUUAUUUGUCUGAACUGUAUACAGGAUACUGUCUUUAGCCUCUUUUCCUCCCACUCCCGUUGAUAUUGGUUGUUUCCUCAAGUCUAAAAAUGUCAAAUAGAGACAUUAAUAUUAUGUUGGUUUGCACUACUGAAAUAAGUGUUUUGAAAAUAAUAUUAAAGAGUUACUGUCACAGGAUA